rnacentral:rRNA from 2 species
AACGGCGAGUGAAGCGGCAAGAGCUCAAAUUUGAAAUCUGGCCUCCCUUGGGGGGUCCGAGUUGUAAUUUGUAGAGGAUGCUUCGGGUGUGGCCGCCGUCUAAGUUCCUUGGAACAGGACGUCGUAGAGGGUGAGAAUCCCGUCUUGGGCGGCCGGUCCGCGCCCGUGUGAAGCUCCUUCGACGAGUCGAGUUGUUUGGGAAUGCAGCUCUAAGCGGGUGGUAAAUUUCAUCUAAAGCUAAAUACUGGCCGGAGACCGAUAGCGCACAAGUAGAGUGAUCGAAAGGUUAAAAGCACCUUGAAAAGGGAGUUAAACAGCACGUGAAAUUGUUGAAAGGGAAGCGCUUGCGGCCAGACUCGAGGGGCGGGGUUCAGCGGGUGCGCGUCACCCGUGCACUCCCCGUUCCCCCGGGCCAGCAUCAGUUUCGACGGCCGGUCAAAGGCCCCCGGAAUGUGUCGUCUCUAGGGACGUCUUAUAGCCGGGGGUGCAAUGCGGCCCGCCGGGACCGAGGAACGCGCUCCGGCUCGGAUGCUGGCGUAAUGGCCGUAAGCGGCCCGUCUUGAAACACGGACCAAGGAGUCUAACAUCCACGCGAGUGUUCGGGUGUCAAACCCGUGCGCGCAGUGAAAGCGAACGGAGGUGGGAGCCCUAGGGCGCACCAUCGACCGAUCCUGAAGUCUUCGGAUGGAUUUGAGUAGGAGCGUGGCCGUUGGGACCCGAAAGAUGGUGAACUAUGCCUGAAUAGGGUGAAGCCAGAGGAAACUCUGGUGGAGGCUCGCAGCGGUUCUGACGUGCAAAUCGAUCGUCAAAUUU